rnacentral:lncRNA from 1 species
CUGGAAAUAGUACGGCUGCACUGCCACUGCUGCUACUAUAGAACUCAUUGCCUAUACAUUUCACAUUAGGCAUUCCACGUAUCUCUAGAAUCUUAAGGCGAGGAAGACAUCCAAGUGUUGGGAGUUGCCUCAACUUGCUGCAGCCAUUCAAUCUCAGCCCCGUCAUAUUAUUGAGUUGCAAUGUAGACAUCCAUGAUGGGAAAUAUUCACCUCCAUAACCCUCAAUUGUCAAGCUUCUUAUGUCUAGGUGAGGCUGCAGGCCUUCCAGCACAUCCUUGCUGUUAACACUAUUGUUACCUUCAUCAUCACUCCAUUCAAACACCAAUUUGUUUAUUCUUUUUACACGCAGUCUUGCCUCCUCAGCUUCUUCUCUGUCUCUAACUUGCUCAAGCUUGCAUAUCUUCAAUGCUCCUCUUAGUUCUUUCAAACAUCCCAGCUCUUCAACCAUAUGAUCUGGACCCACAACAAAUAAAGGCAGAGUUUGAAGGCGUGUUAAGAGUCUCACCUCAGCUGGCACUAGCUUUGGAUCGCUAAAAUGAAGAUGUCUCAAGCUGACUAAAUUCCUCAUUUUCUUGGGAAGCUUUUCUAGUGACUUGCAAUCAGUGAAUCUUAAUGUUUCCAAAUGGUAGAGCUUGGUGAUUGAUUCUGGCAAUUCUCUGAUAGCAGUGUACGAAACAUCAAUAUAUCUCAAAUGUCUCAGCUUGCAAAUUGAAUCUGGUAACUCUGUGAUGUUAGACCGUUGCAAUUUGAGAGUUCUCAACCUUUUGAAUUUCCAAGACCCAUUGAAUACAUCAAGCAUUGAGAAAACAGUACGCAAUUUUCUAGCAUCAACCGCUGUUAACGCUGCCUCAUCAUCCUCACGAGACAUGAGAUUUAGAUGACGAAUAUGAGAUGCACCAUCAACAGCCGAAUCCUCCAGAUUUAACGCUUCUGAUUUUGAGACCUGCAAUGCAAGAUCAUGCACAAGAUCAUGCAUCUUGCAGCUUGUUACGAUCUCACACUCAUUCCUUUUAACAUCUUGGAAAAAGGAAUUUGCAAGCAAGUCAUUGAAACACUUGUUGCCUUCGUCUUCCAUCCUCCCAUUUGAUGGCCUGAGAAAACCUUCAGCCAUCCAAAGUUGAAGUAUCUCUUCCCUUUCAAUUUCAAAAUCUUUAGGAAAAAUGGAACAGUAUGCAAAACAUUUUUUCAAUGUUGGCGAUGACAAGUAAUCAAAACUGAGUCUCAAUAUGCGCAAAGCUUUAUUUCCAUCCUGAGAAUCCCAAAUUCUACUGUUUAGAAUUGACUGCCACUGUUGUGCCUGCUUUCCGUGAAGAGUUCCUCCCAAAACUUUAGCAAGUAAUGGAAUCCCUCCACAUUUCUUUGCAAUCUGUUUUCCAAUAGACUCCAAGUCUGAAGCUAUUAUUGCUCCUCCACCCCUGCUCACCUUUUGCUUGAUAAUGGACCAACAUUCAUCAUCUGAUAGUUUUCCUGGCUCGUGCUGACUCCCUGGAGAAGUCUCCAUCAUGUCUGCGACUUGCUUACUGCGGGUUGUAACAACAACAGCAUUCCCAUUCUUGCUGUUAAUUUUUAACAGUUGCUCCUUCAAAUCAUCCCACUUAGCAUGGUCUUCACUCCACACGUCGUCAAGAACAAGAAGAAGUGUUUUCUUUUCCAGCUUUUUCUUAAGGUUUUCCAUAAUUGCAUUUAGGUUGCUCAACCUACUUGUAGUUUCAUCAACAUUUUGCAACAUCUCUCCUAAAAUCCUCCCUUUACUAAAAUCAUUAGAGACACAAACCCAUAGAGUCACAUCAAAAUGGUUUUUCUCCCUCGCUAAUUGAUAAAUUUUCUUUGCUAUGGUAGUCUUUCCAAGACCUGCCAUCCCCACAAUAGGGACAACAGACAGAACUUGUUGACCGAUCGAGCCAAUCAGCAAUUCCAUGAUUUUAGAGACAUCAUUGUCUCUUCCUACUACAACUUCUGAGCUUUCAAGCAAGGAAUCUGUCUCUCGGUCUAUAUCCCGGAUAACUUCAGGAGCACUCUCUACAUGUUGAGAUGCAAUUCCCAGCCCAAAGCCAAUUGCAAGUUUCUGAAUCUCAUGCAGUGAUCCAUUGAUCUCCUUAACUUUUUGACCCAUAUUCAGACGGAAUGCAACAGGGUUGUGCAGUGAAAAGCAGUCACGUACCUUUCCCUUCUUUUGGUCUUUUCGGAGAAUCUCAUAAGCAAACUCGUCUAGAACAUCUUCAGCAUCGUAAGCUACAUCUUGUAGCUUCUCCAGCCAAAGCUUCGCAGACUUGUCUGUUACUGGCCUUCUGGCUGCAUCUUGGAGCACAGCUUGGAUCAUGGUCAAAGACUCUUCGAGCUUUUGCAGUUGUCCCUCCAAUCCCCAAGCAAGUCUGAUCCCUUCAGCAGCUAUGGAACUGACCCUUGUCAAAGUCGCCUCCAUGGAAAACGUAAGAAAAAGCUCUGCUGCCAUAUUCUCUUGUUUUCUUUGGGAAAUCAAUGAAGAAAGAUUGAGGAAAAGAGAGAUAAGAAUGGUCUGAAAGUUGUGAAGUAGGGAUGAAAUGAAGUGUGUUUUGGAAUGGGGAGAUGCAUUCAACUUGAAAGCAGAGGGUCCCUCCCUCACUGUAUUAAUUGAUUGAUGGCAGAUGGCAGAUGGCAGCUGGCAGCUGGCAGCAUCUUCCACGAACCACUGCUGUCAAAUUAGUCAUGCAAAGAAUUCGAGCGUGUGUUAGUAUAGUUGUGGUUAUUUUUUAAAUAAUAUUUUGUAUUAAAAUAUAUUUAAUGAUGUUUUUUUAUUUUUUAAAAAUUAUUUUUUAUAUUAACAUAUCAAAACAAUCCAAAACGUAUAAAUUAUAUUAAAUUUUAAUAAAAACAAUUUCAAAUUUUUUAGAAACACAUCAACAGCCACAGCCACAUUUCCAAACGCUGCCGAAGAAAAUGAACCUACCUUCUUAUCUUGAGUGUCCAAAUCCAUCUAAGCCUGUAGACAACUUGAAAGCAGAGGGUCCCUCCCUCUUGACACGCGCAAUGAAUCUAAAAAAGUAGUGUCAGUACAUAGACUUCGGUUGUGUAUGAAAUUAGAAUUGAAACUAUAUUUUAAAAAUUUUUGAAUUUUUUUAUUUAAAAUUAAAUUUUAUUAUAUUUUUAUAUAUUAAUAUUAAAAAUAACUUUUAAAAAUAUAAAAAAUAUUUUAAAUCAUAACCGGUAAUAUAUUUCUAUAAUAUGUUAUCCGGAUGGUUGUUUUCUAGGAUUUUACUUUUUGAAUUUUCCUUUUAAAAUCUGGAAUUUUUUACUAUUUUUUUUUAAUUUCUUGUAAAUAUUGACGAUGCAAUGGAUGCUAUUUUUUCUGCUAUAUAAAUUUGUUGAGCCAUUUAUUAUUAUGUUACAACUCUGAUUGCUUUAGGGAUAUUGAAGGUGCAAUGGAAUUUUCUGCUACUUUUUCUACUUUUAUUGCUUUUUUUUUCCCAUAGUUUUCAAGUGUCUUAAUACUAACUUGAACACCCAAAAAAUUAAUCAAUAAAAACUUUAAAGAAAUUAUAAUUGAUUUAAUAACUAAAAAGUCCUUAUAAUUUAACGUUACAACUUUAUCACCAAAUUAUGAAAAACAAAAUCCCCUAAUUUCUCUCUUUUUCCAUAACUCAUCUUCAUCUUCUCUUUUCUUCUAUCUUCUCCCCUCUAAUUCCUAGCCUCCACGCCAUGGUAUAAAAAGAAAUUUCAGAAAUUCCAGUCAACCCUGUGGAACCAAAAAAAUUUAACAAUAAAAACUUGUUGUAUAUCAUUUUUAUUUUAUUUUUACAUAAAAAGGUAAAAUAAAUUUGAAAUAAAUGAUAAUAAAAAUAAAUAGGUCUUCAUUUAUUUCUUUCCCAAUAAAAAGUUAAUAAAUAAAAUAAAAUAUUUAAGAUAUUUUAUCAUAAAUAUAAUGUCUCAUAAAUAAAAAUCAAUCAAUAAAAUAAUAACAUAUUGCAUUUUCCAAAGAUAUGAGUGCUCCUGUAAAACUUGAAAAAUAGAAGGUCUCAUUUUAGAUAAAGAAAGGAAUAUAAUUCUUCUAGGAAUAGAAUCUUUUCCUUAAAACAAGCUAUUUAAGCAAUGAAUCUCUCUUAAAAACUCUAUUUGAUCAAGGCUAAAUAUUUAACAAGAUUUUUUCAAUAACACUUUAAAGACAAAUCAAAAUAUUUCUCAAAGUAUUAAAUUAUCAAAUUUCAUUUGGCAAUAUACAUCUAAUUAAAUUCAUAUUUUUACAAAUUACAAAUCUUGAUUUGAUUUCAUAAAUAAAUUUAAGUUUAAGGGUUAUAACAUUACAGAAGACAUGAUUCAAUACCUUAAUCGUAAUUUCCCUGCCCUCAAAGUUUUGGUGUUGCACGGUGAACGCCUUCACUUUCAGAGGAUUGAGAUUUCUAUCCCCCUGCUUGAGAAAUUAAACCUCAAUGUAGCUCAAAUAUCGGCAGUGGAAGCUAUCAUCAAUACUCCGAGAUUACGGUCCUUCAAAUGUGUCAUGCACAAAAUCCCGUCUUUGUUUUAUUUGAACAGUUUACAAGUUACUCUUGAAUUAUUUGUUGAUCUCAACGUAUAUCAAACAUGGUGAAAGUUUUCUCGAAGAUUUUAGGGAAUAUCUUAAAAAUCUCAACCAAAUCAAGCUUGUCACUCUGAGUAUUUGCGUUUGUUCUUCUUCUGAGAUCCACAAAAUAGUCAGCAGUACUGCCUCCAAUCCUGUUUUGCUUGAUAUCAGUCACUUGAAGCUGGAAACCUUUACCAGGGAGAAAGAAAGCCACGCUCUUGUUGAUGGCUUGUUUUGUAUUUGCCGUCCAGAAUCUUUAUUACUUGUGUCUGGCUGUGCAAGAAACGACGAGUUCAUUAAGAAUCUUUGCGAGAAACUACUGCAAAUAGAGAAUGCAGCUACCUAUGCAAAUUGUGGGCAGCAUCACUUAAAAGGCGUCAAGAUCCAGCAUUGUGGAAGAAAAGGAUAUACAAGAUCCGUACAUGUGAAGCUUUCUUAGACUCAUUGCAAACUCUGGAACCGAAGGAGAAGAUUCGUUUUUUAUUCGAAUGGUGAUUUAAAUUUUUGCAUUUAUUUUAUUUACUUGCUUGGACAAAUUUUCUUAGAAAUCAGCUGAACCUAGCCAGGGCUCUGCUGCAGCAGCCCUUCGAGUUUGUAUUGAACAAGUUUUUUCCGGUUUGCGAUGCCUAUGUUUAAUAAUUUGAUAUUUUACCCUUUACCUUCUGAUAUGUUACUGUUAGUUUACUAAAUUUGACUAAGUCAAUCUUAAAACUGGUGUAAAAUAAAAUAAGACCCAAGCUAAAGCUAACAUCAACAUUUACCAAGUUAUUUUUUAAAACUAGUUUGAAAUAAAACAAGAUCUAAGGUAAAGUUCACAUCAAUUUUUAUUAAAUUAUCUUUGUCAGGCUGGUCCAAUUUAAUAACUUAGUAUAUAGCAUGAAAUAGAGUUCUAAUUUAACAUAAUACGAUGAAGCAAAGGAUUCAUUCAUAGAAGAAUAAAAAAAUUGUUAUAUGCAGCAGAGCAUAAAAUAUUUUAUAAUUAACUUUCAUGAGGUUUGAAUCAUUAUAAUGAAGAAAAAUAAUUAGAUAUAUUUAUUUGAGAUUAUAUACCAAUCAAUUAUGGGAGUAUGUUUAGUAUUUUUUUUCCUGUUUGAUUUGUCUAUUUUUAUGAGUAGUUUUUGUUUUUCCCUAAUAAUUCUAUUCGUGUAGCACUACAAAUCCACAAUUUUUUUUUUAUAAGUUUUCUAUUUCCAUCACCAGGGAUGGUAAUUAUAACUAUGGUUUCAAGUAUCUUAAUACUAACUUUAACACCCAAAAAGUUAGUCAGUAAAAAUUUUAAAAAAUUAGAGGAUUGUUAUUAUAAUUGAUUUAAUAACUAAAAAAACCUUAUAAGUUAAAUGUUACAACUUUAUCACCAAAUUAUAUAAAAAAAAUCCCCUAAUUUUUCUAUUUUUUCCUUAACUCAUCUUCAUCCUCUAUUUUCUUCUAUCUUCUCCCCUCUAAUUCCUAGCCUCCAAGCCAUAGUAGAAAAAGAAAUUUCAGAAAGUCCAGUCAACCCUAUGGAACCAAAAACAUUUAACAACAAAAACUUGUUGUAUAUCAUUUUUAUUUUAUUUUUAAAUAAAAAGAUAAAAUAAAUUUGAAAUAAAUGAUAAUAAAAAUAAAUAGGUCUUUAUUUAUUUCUUUGCCAAUAAAAGUUAAAAAAUAAAAUGAAAUAUUAAAGAUAUUUUAUCAUAAAUAUAAUGUUCUAUAAAUAAAAAUUAAUCAAUAAAAUAAUAACAUGUUGCAUUUUUCAAAGAUACAAGUAAUCCUAUAAAUCUUGAAAAAAAAAGGGUCUCACUUUAGAUAUAAGGAGGAAUAUAAUUUUUUUGGGGAUAAAAUCUUUUCCUUAAAACAAGCUAUUUAAACAAUAAAUCUCUCUUAAAAGCUCUAUUUGAUCAAAGCUAAAUGUUCAAUAAGAUUUCUUUAAUAGUAUUUAAAGACAAAUCAAAAUAUUCCUUAAAAUAUUAAACCAUUAAAUUUCACUUAGCAACAUGCGUCUAAAUUCAUAUUUUUACAAAUAACAAAUCUUGAUUUGAUUUCAUAAAUAAAUGAAAUCAUUAUAAAUCAAAUUUAAAAAAAAAAUAUUUUAUAUUUUAUAAAAUAUUUUAUAUAAAAAUUGUAUUCGGUCAUAAAUUUUAAUAAAAUUAAAUAUUUAUACACAUAUUCUUACUUAAUCUUCAAUACUAAAAUUUGUAUUUACAAAUCCUUACAAGUAAGUUUAAUAAAAAAUUCUCAAUGGAAUCUAUAUUUAAAAACCUCAAUUCAUCCAUUUCGCUCUCGAAAAAGAAAAAAAAAAGUCUCAUUGCUCUUUUAUUGCUUGUUAUCGAGGUUGAUGGUAAUGUUAUCAUCACGGAUCCACUUCUCUGUGUUCUAAUCAUCUUUCAGCGUACAGAUUGAGGUAUUGUUUAUUUUUAUAUUUUGAAAUCAUCUUUAAAAAAUAUAUUAUUUUUAAAUUAAUAUUUUUUAAAUUAUUUUAAUAUAUUAAUAUUAAAAAUAAUUUUUAAAAAUAAAAAAAAUAAUUUUAAUAAAUUUUUUUAUAAAAAAUACUUAAAAAAAUAAUUAUAACCACACUUCCAAACACAAAUUGUAAAUAAUAUUGAGAAGCAAGAUUAACUUCAAAGAUAACUUCCUUCUCCCUUGGGAAAAUAAGAAUAAUGAACAAUAGAUCUUGCUGGAAAGGAAUGAUAAUCAAUUACCAACUGUUUAUUAAUUUGUGAGACAAUAGUAAAUGACCGAUUCAACCCUCACUGGCAUGCGCUCCAUCUACAAAAUGUUAAGAAAGCCCUGAAAUAUAUAAUGGUGAAACGGUGUAUCGUAGCAGCUAGGUAAAAUGGUAAAUUGAUCUGCUAUUCUUUCUGCUUCAUAAUCUUUUUAAGCCUUACUCUAUGUAUAAAUAGGAACACAUUUGUUUUGUUAUGCUCCAACUGCUCUAAUUACUUUAGGAUGAUUUAUAUAAUUUAUAGAUAUUAAUUUGAAAAACAGAAAUUUAUGGAAAAACAAUGUCUUUAUUUUUGUAUUAAUUUUUUUUAAAUCAUUUUAUUUUAAAAACCACGCUUCUUCUAAUAAAAAAGAUAUAUUUUUAUUAAAACAAAAAAUAUAUAAAUAAAGAAUGAAAGUUUUGAUUAAAGAGAUAUAUUUUUUCCCUUUUAAUUUAAAUAAUUAAAAAUUCUUGAAUACUUAUUUAAAUCACCAAGUUUUUUAUUUAUUAAAACAACGAUGUUGCUAAUUAAAAAAUAUAUAUGUUUUUGUCAAAAUAAAUAAUAAAAGAGAAUUUUGACUUUUUUCUGUAAAAUUAAUUUAUCGAUUUUUUUACAAAUACUUAUUUUAAUUAUCUUAAAAUUAAAUACCAAUAAAUUUCCAAAAAGACAUCGUCAAGCUGUGACUGUGUGGAAAGCUUGAAGAUACAGAGGAAGUCGCAGUAAAUAACCUGUUCUAAUAUUGCCUUGCCCUGUACCUGCCAAUACAAACACUACUGUGUGGAAUAGCAAAGAUUCUUCAUUGUUUCUCUUAGGACAUGUUUGUUUUUUAAAAACUGGUUUGAAAAAAAUUAUUUUUCAAAUUUUUCUGUAUUUAUUUAUUAUUAGAAAAAUUGAUGAACAAAAAACACUUUCCAAUUAAAGAAAAAUUUGGCUUGGUUUCCAGAAAAGUGUUUUCCUCGAAAAUUUAGGCAGAAAACACUUUCCGGAAGUUAUGAAAAAUUUAGAAAUGUCAUAUUAUUUGCUGAUUAUAUCAAAUUUGAUCCUUAAACUUUUAAUUGCUAUAUAUAUUUUGUUUUGAAUAUUUAUUUUUCAAUUUUAUCUCUUAAAAUUUAAUUUUUAUAUUAACUUUGGUACUCAUUUUUAUAAUUUUUAUUUGUUUUUUUCUUAUCAUUUUUUUUAUUGAAAUUUUUUAUCUAUCAAAUUUGGUCCUCAUUCUUUUGAUUGUUAAUUAUUUUAUUUGAAAUAAUUUAUGAAAUGUUAACUAUUAUUAUUUUAAUCUCUUCAUCUUUUAUUUUUUUUUAAUUUUUUAGAUUUGAUUUUUAUUAUUAUUUAUUUUAUUUGAGAUAAUUUAUGAAUUAUAUUUUUUUUUCAAUUUUAUUCUCAUUCAACCUUUUAACUUGUAAGAUUUGGUCCUAAUUAUUUUAAUAAAUUUGAGAAAAAUAAAACAUUAAUAAGUUAUUUUCCAGCUCAUUUUACAUAACAUAACCAAACACUGGAAAGUGUUUUUCAAUUUAUUUUUCAUUACAAUACCAAACAUAAUAAAAUAAUUUACUUUUCUGGAAUUUAUUUUUUAAAAAUUUAUUUUUUUAAAAAAAAUUACUUUCCUAUAAAUAAAAGGGACUUAAUAGAUGACAUCUUUUCUCUUUUCUUUCCUUCCCUUCCCGUGUAUCCACUCCCUGUCUAAUGUUAUCUUAAAAAAAAAAAAAACAAAAAAAUUGUAAGUCUUCUUCCAAGUCUUUCUUUCUUUCUUUAUUUGAUGCAGCGAGUUGUUCAAGAGAUGAUUUAAAAAAACAAACAUAUUUAAUUGCAUUUCCUAAUCUUACGUACAGUCUUCUGCCAAAUCUUUCUUUAUAUAUACAUAUAUUUGAGUUAAAGUAUUCUAAUGGCCGGCCAGUUGCUUUCUAGGACUAUACUUUUUCAAUCAAUGUGAUGAGAUUUGUGAUUUUGAUGGCUGGUCCCAGAAGAACUAAAGUAGACUCUUUACCCUUUUCAUUACAAGAUAGCAAUUCACUGUAUCCAUGAAAAGGACAUUUUAUUUUUCAGCUAACUUCCUAGCCAUAUAUCAAUCAAGCAUGCAUAACACCAUGGCUUUCAUUUUAUAUAUUUCACCAUAUUCUGAACUUGAUUUGCAGCAUCAACUAAAUUUAUUGAUCAUAUUGACAACAUUCCAUGGAACGUUAAACCGACGCCAUCAUGUGUCCGGAAGGCUUGAAGGAAAUGUGUUCAGGAAAAAGGAAACGAAAAUAACAGAGAAUAGAAAUGGGAGACAAUCUGCGGUCUUCGAGAACGACAUCAAAAGGAUAGAAAAUAGAUGUGGAAACAGAAAAGUCUGCUAGGUCUGGCAGACAAGAGAGCUAGAGAUCUGUGCAUCCGAUGUGAUCACCCCCAUUGUCACCCUAAACAUUAAUUUACAAUAAUUGGAUUAAUUAUUGAUCCAUGUUUAUUUAAACUUAUUUGAUUUCAUAUAAAAAACGCUCAUGGUGGCUGCGUUUUCCUGAAUCACAUGAACUAACCCCUGUUUUUAGCUAGGUUCUCUUUGCCAAUGGACUUUUCUUCGAGUCUUGUGCUAAUACAUAGGUAGCACCGCACCCAGAUGUGCCUGACCAUAUUAAUUAUUUCAUUCUCCUUUCCUAUGCACCAGUCCUUAACCUCAUUAUCCAUUUCCAUGUGCUUAAGUCUAUUCCCUCAAUAGUCUAUUCCCUCAAUAGUUUACAGAAGUGUUUGCCAUGUGAUACUGCGAGAUGCCCCCUUCCUUUCUGCAAUUCUUUUGUUUUUUUCUGUCCGGCUAAACGACGGAUAUUCAUGAACAUCAUUAGAAAAAGAAAAUAAUUACUGAAUUUGACAUUAAUCACCGUGCACCCCAAACUAUAUCAGAAAACUGAUUUCUGAUGUUCUUAAUAUAGUCUACCUAAUAAUGACUUUGUCUUAAUUGGCUGGUCACAGCUGGCAAGGCUUCACACUAAUUAUUUGUCUUGUUCUUGUGUGAUCUCACCUAUUGCUCGGGUCCUUCAUUUUAAAAAAUUACUUCGUGUCUACUCCCUGUCGAAGUCUUUCUUUAUUAUUAUUUUUUUUAAUUAAGCAAGUUGUUGAGUUUGAUAAUGACAGGAUUUUAAAAAACACAGUUAAUUGCAUUUUCUUGAUGUUUGUAUUUUGGAGUAAGCUAGCUGGUCAUCCUAAUCUUACAGCCAUUUAGUCUUUCUUUCAUUAUAUAUAUAAAUAAAGGCAUUUGUUAAAUUAUCUACAUAGUUUGUUUAUGGUAAUCCUCAUUCAAAUGUUCAAAAUUCUUAGUUUUUAUAAGCACAACUGCAUUAAAAGAGUUGGUUAGAGGUUUGCAUAGUUGUUAAUUUUAAAACCUAUAAGAUUAGUCAAGGUGCGCAUAAACUGACCUGGACACGCACAUUAAUCUUAGAAAAAAAAAGUUAAGAUUAAACUAUGCACUAACUCAUAAGAAUAGUACUUGAGACUCAUAAAACAUGUUACACACUCUUAAGAAAACCACCUCAUCAUUGACUCUAUAAAAGAUCGCUCACCAGAAUUGCCUGAAAAAUGAUAAAAGAACUUAUGAUCAACAGGCAAAAUAUAUGUACGUAAUCCGAUUCUAAUUCGAUGGAGGAGAUGAAUCUUUUAGCUUAAAUGAUUCACAAAUCUUUAUGUAAAAUUCAGAUUCUUUCUGUAUAUGUUUUUGUGAGGGAGCUUGAAGCUAAAAAUCAAGGAGAAAUGGCCAGAGUUGGCCAAACAAUAAUAUGAUUGUAACUUUAUGAAUAUGAAAACAGCACUUCACUCACUAAAACUUCAAUAAUACUUUUAAUUCCACAGAAGAUUUCUAAUUUAGAAAUCAUAAUAUUUCAGAUGAAAAGCCAAUGGUACUAACAUCACAAAAUCAUGUAGAUCACUAGUACAAUCUCAUAAUUAAGUGCGCAAUUCUUCUACCUAUCGGCCAUGUAUGCGUACUGGAUACUGUUUUCGAACUGGACAGCAAAUCCUUCCCACACAAAUUCCUCAUAUAAAAAAAAGGAAGAAUCAGUAGAUUCCAUAUCAUUCAAUAAUUUGUGCAUUUACACUCUUUUUAGGAAUUCAGAAAUUAACAGCGAUUCCAAAAAUAAAAAACUAUCUGCUUGUUAUACAUAAAAAUUAUGUUAAAAAAGGAAAAGAUGAAGUCUUGGACAUGAAAGGGGUGUUUAAAAGUGAGUUUCAACCUAUUUUUUUUGUCAAAAAUUAUUUAUUUUUGUUUUAAAUUAUUUUUUUAUAUUUUUGAAUCGUUUUGAUAUGCUGAUAUUAAAAAUAAAAUUUUAAAAAUAUAAAAAAAUUGAUUAUAGACUAGAUUUGAUAAAAACCCAAAUUUAUGUAAAAAAUAGUUUAUAUGCUGUAAAAUCCUUAAAACAAGUAAUGGAUUAACGUGGGUAAUUUGAAAGCAAAAGUAUUCUAGAUGUUAUAUGAUUCUUAAAAUAAGGAAUGAUUUUAUCAAGUAAGCUAAUAAUCUUGUAGGCUGAUAGAUUCAGCAUGCUGGUGACUUAUAGAAGGAUAAGUAGUAGGCUUGUAACUAAUAAGCAGUAAUCUUCAUAGCAAAUUCUUUUUUUUUUUAAAUAUAUUUUUCUAUUAAGAUCUCACUUAGAUUAAGAACAAUUCUAUGAUUGUAAGUUUUAUUUGCAAUAAAUUUUCUUGUUCUUGAAUUUCAAUUAUUUUUUAAUAUUUUCAUUGAGUGAUUGAAUCUUUAUUUCUUUAAUUGAGACAAAUACAAAAGAAUCCUGAAUCACUGUAAACGACAUACUGAUAAAGGUAUAUAAUUUCUGGUAUUGAUCACUAAUACCGUAAUAAUCUACAAGUUACAAAAAUAUAUAAUGGAACUUGAAAAGCACUGAAAUUUAAGAUUGUAGAAAAAUAAUGUCUUUUUUUGUUAUUUUAUUUCCAUGUCACUUCUUCUUCUUCUUCGUUUCUGCCAACUACAAUAUCAGAUAUACCAAUUGAGGUGCAUAAGUUGGUAUCAGAGCGUUCCUUCCUUGAACUGAUGGCAGAGGGCACAUCAAACCUCUUUCUCGCUCUUGAGAAAGUCACCUCAUCACUGAAUCCCUUACAAAGAACCACCCACCAGAACUGUAUGGACAGUGAUCGAUGGGCAGAAUAUAUAUAAAUAUAUGUAAUCUGAUGCAAAUUCGAUGGAGGAGGAAAUGAAUCUAUGAGCUUAGAGACUGGGAAACAAAAUGAUAUAUUAUUAGCAUUAGAGAAGGUACAUGAUUUAUUUAUUCAGUAUGCAUAUUUUGAUAGCUUGAACCGAGAAGAGUAUAAUUCAUUAACAUGGAACAAGAGCAGAAAAAUCCUGUGUUCAGAGAGAAGAAUACCUCUCAUCAUUGACCUGAAUUUGAAUCUAGUUGUAAUUGUAUAGAAAUCCACAUGCUUAGACUGUAACCAACACUGAAAGUCAAAUCUCCGAAUAGAUUAGCUUUCACGAGUGUGCAUGCAUCCAAAUAAACAGAGUGAUAUUCAGAGGAGCUAGAGCCAGAGAAUCACAAAAUCAACUGAAACAGACAUCUCAGACCAACAGGGGAACCCAAGAGGUUCCAUAUUUUGAUAUAAGCAUUUUUCAAUGAAUAGAAUAAGGCAUGCGGUGGGUCAAUAGACUCGUAAACACUGAACUAAGACAAUUCCAUCAAGAAUAUUGCUCAUCACAUUAUCCGUACAGAGCAAAUGUUGUGAAAGCAUCACAUUAAUAUCCACAUUAUUUCACUUGUAAUUUUAUUUUACAAGUGAAAUAAACAGAAAGAAUUAUUUAAAACAAUCAAAUUGAAAAAAUGUAGAUGAAAAGGAAAAGGCCUCGCACUGCCAGACCUGCAUGUUAUUACUGGUCUAGAUGUGCCACGCUUGCAUGAACUUUAUAAUUAAAAGAAAAAAGCAAUUUUAUUUUUUAUUAAUAAUAAAAUCUUAAUAACUAUGCUUUCAUCUUUAUAUAUCUUCAAUGGCUACGUACAAGCUUAGAUGCAAAAUCCUUUUGUUUUUUACUAAUUUUGUUUCUCAAAAUAAAAACCUAAACCUCAUAAAACUAACUCAUAGUAAGCAUCUCCACUCUAAAAUCAUAAAAAAAUUAACUAAAUCUAAAAGUUUAUUCUCAAAUUCUAAGCUGUUUAAUUUAUGGAUAAUGAAGUUGUUUAAUUUAUCAUUUUAAAUCUUUUCACAACCUUUUUUAUAUUGUCCUUCUAAGCAAAUUUUAAUAUUUUCUAUGAUUUGCUGUGAAUCUUUUUAUGCCAUUGCUUUGUUUAAUGUGGCAAACCCAAAUUGCUAUUUGCAACCAAAAUAUCAUCUACGUGUAAUAAACAAAAUUGCAAUAGUGCUCUAGGGAAAGAAAAAAAAACACUGAAAUUGAAAUUUAAGAUUGUACAAAAAUAAUGUCUUUUUAUUGUUAUUUUAUUUCCAUGUCACUUUAAUUAAUUGUGUUUUAGUGCUUAUUCCCGAAAAAUCAAUGGAGUUUUUUUUUUGCAUUUAAAGAGUGUUUAUGAAAAAAAUUGAUUUUUUUUAUUUUUUUUGUUUUAAAUUAAUAUUUUUUUAGUAUUUUUAUAUUAUUUUGAUGACUAUAUAUCUUCAAAUUAAAAAAAAAAGACAAAAUUACUUAAAAACUUGAUAAAAUCAUCAAUUAUAAAAGAUAAAAUGAUGGUUUAUAAAACAAAUAAAUACUAAUUAAUUAUUAUAAAUACCUCUAGCGUUUGGGGUUCCAUUUCCAUAUACCUCAACCAUGUACUUUGCGAGGGUUUCUUGGAGGGCGAGCCAAAAAUAAGAGAUUGAAUCCAAGCUGUUGAUAUAAAACCAUGAGAAAAAUUCAAUGGUGGAUAGGAAAUCCAAGUCAUCUCUUCAUGUCAAAAUAAUUUCCCUCUCAUAACAAAACCAACCAUUUGGCGCCAUUUUACAACUGUCAUAACUGAAAUUUCCUUCUUGUCACAAGUUAAGUUUGAUUCGAGGGGGAGGAAAGAAUUGCACUGGACACAAGGUUGUUUUCAAAUCUAAUGAACGUUAUUAGGAUUUAGUUACAGCAAUACGCGCGUUUUAUUAGUGCAGGGUUUGUUAAGAAAAGAUGCCACGUGUGGCCAGUAGCGAGAAUAUAGGAAGUAAUCUUCAUAUAUAAGAUCUGUAACAGAAUUGGAGGAGGAUAAUAAUGAACAUAAUGAAUGAAUGUUGAGCUGAAUUUGUGGAAUUCUGCUUCUAUCUCUCUUUUCUUCUUCCAUUUCCAUCCCUAAGGCGCCUCUGGAUGUUUUCCAGAUUGUUCUCCUUUUAUUUUUAUUUUUAUUUUUAUUCUCACAAAAUAAGAAGAAGCCGAGUCUACCGAUGGGUCUGCUACUACCCUCUUUUUACUCUUUUUUUGGGGGUUUUCUUAUUUUGUGCUAUUAAUUUGAAUUUGGAGAUGAUUUGUUUGAUUAAAAAAAUCUGGGUUUUUCUAUUUUUGUGUUCUUGAAUUGAUUUUGGGGUUUGAAAUAAUGGGUUCUUUGAUUAUUUUUUUUGAAGAAAUUGAGUAACCCGGUUGAUUUUUGAACAAACUCUGUUUCUGGGUGUUUCUAGUUUUGUGUUCUCGACUUGAUUUUGGGGUUUUCAAUCAUGGUUCUUUGAAUUUUUUUUAAGAAAGAGGGAACCCGGUUACAGAAAUUAAGGAAUCAAUGAAGUAAUUCAUGUGUUUUGCUUUUUUCAAUCAUGUUUUUUAUUCACCAUCAAAAGAAGGUUCAUUUUUAUUUUAUGAUCGUUGUUGUUGAGGUUGGUUUGGGAACUUUUCUCUUUCGCUACUUGCCAGGAUUGUUGCAUUCAAUACUCAUGGAGAUGGGAAUAAGUAAAGACAUGCAUUAUCCUGUAUGUAAGUUAUAAGUAUUAUGAUAUUGAGCUUGUAUCUCUGUUCUAGAGAAGAUUAUGGUUCUCCUUUGCUUUUGUAAACUAGUUAACAUUUAGGCUCUGUGCAUUUUUACAAGUCUGAAGCUGUAAACUUGGUUGCAAAAAAAGCAGUUGUUUCCUGGAUGCAAGCAAGGGUCCUUAUGUUUAUAGAUCACGUAUGCAAGGCUGCCCUAAUUCUCUCUGGUGAUAUGUUUCCAUAGAAGCACUCAACUAAGGAUCAUUAUGUUUAUAGAUCACACAUGUAAGGUAGAAAUUGCUAUGAUGGUAGUUGAAAGUUUAAAUUAAUACCAGUUCCUGUUUGAUGGUUAAUGGUUUUAAUCCAUGGGCCAAACUUCUUCACGCCGUUGACUGUAGAUUACAUUUUUCGAGCAACUGAAAAAGCUAUUGAAAAAUACUUUCUUGUUGGUUUCAUUAUCCUCUGCUGACCGUGCUUAAUUAGCUUGUUGAAACUGUCCAGCUUUAUGCCAGUGCUGGCAGACAAGGUUCUACUGCUGUUAAAUAUGCUUUGUUGGAUACUAUCUUAAUCUUGUUAGUAUCUGUGAAAACUCAAACUUUCACCUAUGAGAACCCUAAUUUCUUGUUACCGAUGUGCUUCUUUGCCAACCUUGUUAGAAUUUACAAGAGCUGCCAAUUCAAGUAUCUUUAUGCAUUUUGGUGAGUUUGGUUGUUCAUUCCUCAAGUUCUUUUUUGGAACCAGCAUUUUUCUUCAAAACUAUUUUAUGCUUUGAGCUCAAUAAGAAGGUUUAAACCAAAUUCUUGCAUUAUAAGGUUUAUUCUACAGAUAGAAGAAGUGUGUUUGUUGACCUGAGGAUCCACAUUUCAGAUAAGCUUAUUCAACUUGCUCUAAUAAAAAAAUAAUAAUAGAAUUUACAUCGCACACACAUAAAUAUUCACAUUCAUAUCCAUAGUAACCGCUUCUAUCUUAGUGAGAAGCUGGCAGCUCCAUCCAUUUUUACAUUCUGACAAACACGCUUAUCUCAUAAAGACCACAGAAAACUAUGCAAGUCACACAUUUAUCUGCAUAAGUUUCCAAUAACCAUUUCAUGGCGUCUUCGCAUUGAAGAUAAACAACGCUAAAAUUCAAAAUAGUUGGAGUUGGAUAAUACAUUAUCAAUAUAUAAUUUAUAAAUCUAUACUUUAUAUAAACUGGAGCCUUUUUCUUUUUUUAAAUCUUGGGGUCAACUAAAGAGUGUUUUUAGCUUUAAUUGUAUUUGCUACUAAAAAGUGAUUGGUUAGUAAUCUCAGUAAUAAUCUUAUUGGUUGUUAUUAAAUGAAAUUAACUACGUUAAAAUUGGGUAGGCAAGAAAUGAUUAGGCAAUUGUUUUUAAAAGUAAAAGUCUAACAAUAUUUUAAAUUAUUGAUUUGAAGUUAAAUUAUCUUGUAAGAAUGAUAUUAGAAUAAUAUUAGAUUGUAAUGAUUAGGUUGUAAUUUUUAAAUAUUAACAAAUCAUCAUUAAAUUCAAGUUAAAUUAUGUUGUAAGAAUGAUAUUAGAAUAAUGAUUGAAAGAAUGCAGGAUGGCUAUUGAUUUUAUCAUUGAUAUGUGUAUAUUUUGAUACAUAGUAAAAGCUAAUUAAUAAUGGCAUGUGAUAGUGUCCGUCCUAUAUAUUCCAAUUUAGGUUAUAAUAGAAAAAACAAAUAAUCAUCUCUAAGCUAUUUGUAAUGCACAGAAAUAAUUUUAAGUUAAAUUAUUUUGUGAUAUUAAUAUUACAAUAAUGAGUGAUGGUUAUUGAUAUUAUCAUUGAUCACAAGUAUAAAAGAUAAUAAGAUAUUAGUCUCUAAUAAUUGCUUUUGAUUAUGAUUGAAAUAAACCAUUUUUAAAAAUAAGUGGAACCAAUCAUUAUCUCUAAUAAUUGCUUUUGAUUAAUUUUGAUAAUAUGUCUAAAGAAUGUUGGGAUAUGAGAAAUAAACCAUUUUUAAAAAGAAUGAAGUCUAAUUAUUGCUUUCAUUAUUUUGAAUACUUUAAUUGGUUCUCUCUCCUUACUGCAUACUACAAAGUAACGGAAUAAUUUAAACCCCAACUUACCUGUACACGUCUACCCUCUAUACUCUAUAGAUUUUUGGGAUAUGAGAAAUCUUGGGCCACUCAGAGCCAUUCUCCUCUCUACAAUUUUUUGAUAGAUGUGGACAUCCCCACGAAAUAACCAAUUCCUUUAAAUUGGAGAGGCGUUGAAUGGCUGUUGAACUUGGCAUAUACUUGAGAUUCUUACAGCUCAUUAUCUUAAGAGAUUGAAGAGAAGAAAGGUUGGCCAGCCAUUCUGGCAAUGCUUCCUCAAACUCCUCUCCAUUGAAAUCAUAUAUAGACAAUGCAUUGAGGGCAGUGAGGUGUUGAAGUUGGUGUGGUACACUCUUCAGUUUAUCCCAUCCAUAUAUCUCCAGGGAUUCAAGGGACCCACUCAAGUUGAGGUGUUGGAUUGAGUUUAAAACUCCUGCAGGAAAAGCCUCCAUCUCCUCUGAGUAACCACCGAUUAUUAAUUCCUUCAGUUGCGUGAGGCCGGCUAACCAAUCAUCCUCUGGGAUAUCACUCAAACUCCGACACCGACGGAUGGUUAAAUGAACAAGAGAAGGCAAUUGUCGUAAACCAUGCCAAUCAAUACUGAUGAGCUUAUCACAUGAUUUAAUGGUUAAACUUCGAAGCGAAGACAAUUCUUGCAAAUCACUGAUAUGGAUAAGCUCACUCCAAUCAUUUAUUACUAAACGCUCUAGAGAUGCGCAACAUUGUAGUCCGCUUGGAAGAGCUCCCAAUUUACACCCAUCAACCAUCAAUUCCUUCAAAGAAUAUUUCAAUUCUCGGAAAUCACCAGGAAUUGACAUCAACUCACGGCAGUGACCUAUCAUCAAUUGCACCAGAGCUGUGCAGUGCUGUAUGCUUGGAAUGGAUGCCAGCUUUGAACACCACCGAAUUUCUAAAAUUUGAAGAGACGUGAAGCCACGAAACUCACCAGAAAAAUAUCUAAGUUCAGCACAAAAUCCAAUAUCAAAUUUUACAAGAGAUGAAAGACCACAUAUCGGAAUGCUUUUCAACUUGCCACACAUCCAAAUGCUCAACCUUUCAAGACAAGGAAAUACUUGAUCACCUUCUCCACCUGGUACCAUCCAUUCUUCAAGACCAUCCAUAUACAUCAAAGUGAGUUCUUUUAGUGCUGGAAACAGUACUGCUUCACUGCCACUGCUGCUACUAUAGAACUCAUUGCCUAUACAUUUCACAUUAGGCAUUCUACCUAUCUCUAGAAUCUUAAGGCGAGGAAGACAUCCAAGUGUUGGGAGUUGUCUGUUCUUGCUGCAGCCUUUCAAUCUCAGCACCGUCAGAUUAUUGAGUUGCAAUAUCCAUGAUGAGAAAUUUUCACCUCCAUAACCCUCAAUUGUCAAACUUCUUAUGUCUGGGUGAGGCUGCAGGCCUUCCAGCACAUCCUCGCUAUUGACACUGCUGGUACCUUCAUCAUCACUCCAUUCAAACACCAAUUUGUUCAUUCUUUUUCCACUCAGUUCUGCCUUCUCAGCUUCUUCUCUGUCUCUCACUUGCUCAAGCUUGCAUAUCUUCAAUGCUCCUCUUAGUUCUUUCAAACAUCCCAGCUCUUCAACCAUAUGAUCUGGACCCACACCAAAAAAAGGCAGAGUUUGAAGGCGUGUUAAGAGUCUCACCUCAGCUGGCACUAGCUUUGGAUCAUCAAAAUGAAGAUGUCUCAAGCUCACUAAAUUCCUCAUUUUCUUGGGAAGCUUUUCUAGUGACUUGCAAUCAGUUAAUCUUAAUGUUUCCAAAUGGUAGAGCUUGGUGAUGGAUUCCGGCAAUGCUCUGAUAGCAGUAUCCGAGACAUCAAGAUAUCUCAAAUAUCUCAGCUUGCAAAUUGAAUCUGGUAACUCGGUGAUAUUAGCCCCUCGUAAUUUGAGAGUUCUCAAGCUCUUGAAUUUCCAAGACCCAUUGCAUACAUCAACCAUUGAGAAAACAGUUUGCAAUUUGAGAGUUCUCAAGCUUUUGAAUUUCCAAGACCCAUUCAAUACAUCAACCAUUGAGAAAACAGUCCGCAAUUUUCUAGCAUCAACCGCUGUUAAUGCUGCCUCAACAUCCCCACAAGAUAGGAGAUUUAGAUGACGAAUAUGAGAUGCGCCAUCAACGGCCAAAUCCGCCUCCAGAUUUAACACUUCUGAUUUUGAGACCUGCAAUGCAAGAUCAUGCACAAGAUCAUGCAUCUUGCAACUUGUUACGAUCUCAUACCCAUUCCUUUCAAUAUCUUGGAAAAAGGAAUUUGCAAGCAAGUCAUUGAAACACUUGUUGCCUUCGUCUUCCAUCCUUCCAUUUGAUGGCCUGAGAAAACCUUCAGCCAUCCAAAGUUGAAUUAGCUCUUCCCUUUCAAUUUCAAAAUCUUUAGGAAAAAUGGAACAGUAUGCAAAACAUUUUUUCAAUGUUGGCGAUGACAAGUAAUCAAAACUUAAUCUCAAUAUGCGCAAAGCUUUAUUUCCAUCCUGAGAAUCCCAAAUUCUACUGUUUAGAAUUGACUGCCACUGUUGUGCCUGCUUUCCGUGAAGAGUUCCUCCCAAAACUUUAGCAAGUAAUGGAACACCUCCACAUUUCUUUGCAAUCUCUUUUCCAAUAGACUCGAAGUCUGAAGGUAUUGUUUCUCGUCCACCCCUGCUCACCUUUUGAUUGAUAAUGGACCAACAUUGAUCAGCUGAUAGUCUCCCUGGCUCGUGCUGAAUCCCAGGAGAAGUCUCCAUCAUGUCUGCUACUUUCUUACUGCGGGUUGUAAUAACAACAGCAUUCCCAUUCCUGCUGUUAAUUUUUAACAAUCCCUCCUUCAAACCAGCCCACUUAUCAUAGUCUUCAUUCCACACAUCAUCAAGAACAAGAAGAAGUGUUUUGUUUUCUAGCUCUUGCUGAAGUUUUUCAAGAAUUGCAUCUAGAUUGCUCAACCCACCAGUAGAUUUAUCAAUCUUUUGCAACAUCUCUCCUAAUAUCCUCCUUUUACUGAAAUCAUUAGAGACACAAACCCAUAGAGUCACAUCAAAAUGUUUUUUCUCCCUCGCUAAUUGACAAAUUUUCUUUGCUAUGGUAGUCUUUCCAAGACCUGCCAUCCCAACAAUAGGGACAACAGACAGAACUUGUUGACCGAUCGAGCCAAUCAGCAAUUUCAUAACUUUAUAGACAUCAUCCUCCCUUCCUACUACAACUUCUGAGCUUUCAAGCAAGGAAUCUGUCUCUCGGUCUAUAUCCCGGAAAACUUCAGGAGCACUCUCUACAUGCUGAGAUGCAAUUCCCAGCCCAAAGCGAGUUGCAAGUUUCUGAAUCUCAUCCAGUGAUCCAUUGAUCUCCUUAACUUUUUGACCCAUAUUCAGACGGAAUGCAACAGGGUUGUGGAGUGAAAAGCAGCCACGUACCUUUCCCUUCUUUUGGUCUUUUCGGAGAAUCUCAUAAGCAAACUCGUCUAGAACAUCUUCAGCAUUGUAAGCUACAUCUUGUAGCUUCUCCAGCCAAAGCUUCGCAGACUUGUCUGUUACUGGCCUUCUGGCUGCAUCUUGGAGCACAGCUUGGAUCAUGGUCAAUGACUCUUCGAGCUUUAGCAGCUGUCCCUCCAAUCCCCAGGCAAGUCCGAUCCCUUCAGCAGCUAUGGAACUGACCCUUGUCAAAGUCUCCUCCAUGGCAAACGUAAGAAAAAGCUCUGCUGCCAUGUUCUCUUGUUUUCUUUGGGAAAUCAAGGAAGAAAGAUUGAGCAUUCAACUUGAGAGAGAGAAGAAGGGUCUGAAAGUUGUGAAAUAGAGAUGAAAUGAAGUGCGUUUUGGAAUGGGGAGAUGCAUUCAACUUGAAAGCAGAGGGUCCCUCCCUCACUGUAUUAAUUGAUUGAUUGCAGCUAGCAGCAUCUUCCACGAACCACUGCUGUCAAAUUAGUCAUGCAAAGGCGAAGAAAAUAACCCUACCUUCUUAUUUUGUGUGUCCAAAUCCAUCUAAGCCUGUAGACCACUUGAAAGCAGAGGGUCCCUCCCUCUCCCUAUAUUCUUUUGACACGCACAAAUGCACAAUGAAUCUAAAAAAAUAGUGUCAGUACAUAGACUUCAGUUGUGUAUGAAAUUAGGAUUGAAGCUAUAUUUUUAAAAUUUUCGAAUUUUUUUAUUUAAAAUUAAUUUUUUUUAUAUUUUUAUAUGAUUUUAAUAUAUUAAUAUUAAAAAUAAUUUUAAAAAAUAUAAAAAAGUAUUUUAAAUCGUAUCGGACGGUUGUUUUCUGGGAUUUUACUUUUUAAAUUUUCCCUCUAAAAUCUGGAAUUUUCUACUAUUUUUUCUGCUAAAUAAAUUUGUUGAGCCAUUUAUUAUGUUACUUUAGGGAUAUUGACGAUGCAAUCGAAUUUUCUGCUACUUUCUCUACUUUUAUUGGUUUUUUUUUUUUCAUAGUUUUCAAGUAUCUUAAUACUAACUUGAGCACCCAAAAAAUUAAUCAAUAAAAACUUUAAAGAAAUUAUAAUUGAUUUAAUAACUAAAAAGUCCUUAUAAUUUAAUGUUACAACUUUAUCACCAAAUUAUGAAAAACAAAAUCCUCUAAUUUCUCUGAUCUUUUUUCCAUAACUCAUCUUCAUCUUCUCUUUUCUUCUAUCUCCUCCCCUCUAAUUCCUAGCCUCUACGCCAUGGUAUAAAAAGAAAUUCCAGUCAACCCUGUGGAACUAAAAAAAUUUAACAAUAAAAACUUGUUGUAUAUCAUUUUUAUUUUAUUUUUACAUAAAAAAGGUUAAUUGUUUUUGAAAUAAAUGGUAAUAAAAAUAAAUAGGUCUUUAUUUAUUUCUUUACCAAUAAAAAGUUAAUAAAUAAAAUAAAAUAUUUAAAAUAUUUUAUCAUAAAUAUAAUGUUCCAUAAAUAAAAAUCAACCAAUAAAAUAAUAACAUAUUACAUUUUCCAAAGAUACGAGUGUUCUUAUAAAUCUUGAAAAAUAGAAAGUCUCACUUUAGAUAUGAAGAGGAAUAUAAUUCUUCUAGGUAUAGAAUCUUUUUCUUAAAACAAGCUAUUUAAACAAUAAAUCUCUCUUAAAAACUCUACUUGAUCAAGGCUAAACAUUUAACAAGAUUUUUUUAACAAUACUUUAAAGACAAAUCAAAAUAUUCCUUAAAGUAUUAAAUCAUUAAAUUUCACUUGGCAACAUACGUUUAAAUUCAUAUUUUUACAAAUUACAAAUCUUGAUUUGAUUUUAAAAAUAAAUUAAGAUAUUAUAAAUCAAUUUUUUUUAAAAAUAAGAUAAUUAUGUUAUAUUUUAUAAAAAUAUUUUAUAUAAAAAUUGUAUUCGGUCAUAAAUUUUAAUAAAAUUAAAUAUUUAUACACAUAUUCUUACUUAAUCUUCAAUACUAAAAUUUGUGUUUACAAAUCCUUACAAGGAAGUUUAAUAAAAAAAAAUUCGAAUCGAAUCUAUAUUUAAAAACCUCAAUUCAUCCACUUUGCUCUCAGAAAAAGAAAAAUAAAAAAAGAAGAAGUCCCAUUGCUCUUUUAUUGCUUGCUGUCGAGGCUGAUGGUAGUGUUGUCAUCACGAAUCCACUUCUCUCUGUUAUAACCAUCUUUCCGUGUAUAGAUUGAGGUAUUGUUUAUUUUUAUGUUUUAAAAUUAUUUUUAAAAAAUAUGUUAUUUUUAAAUUAAUAUUUUUAAAAUUAUUUUGAUGCGUUAAUGUUAAAAAUAACUUUUAAAAAUAAAAAAAAUAUUAUUUUAAUAAUUGUUUUUUAAAAUAUUUUAAAAAAUAACUACAAUCACACUCUGAAACAAACCUGGUUGAAAUUAUAAAUAAUAAGCAAGAUUAGUGUAAGACCCAGACUUUUGGCCCAAACCUAAGCCCAAGUUAGCCCAAACCCAACCUAAGUUAACCUAGGUAUUUAAGGAAGAGUUUCAAGAGAAUUUCUUUCUUCUCUUCUAAUUCCUGUAGCCGCGGUGACCCUCCCCUCCUCAAACCAAAGAGUUUAGUUUUUGAUCUUGAGUUUUUGGUUCAAGAAAGGUGGAAGUAGCAAGUAAGUGGUUCUCUUUUAUAUUACUUUCGAUUAUAGUUGUUUAUGGAAUGAGUAAAGAAGAGAUUAGCGUUUAUAAGGAUUGGAAGUUUUGAUUGUUAAGAUUAAUUAAUGAUUAUUAAGGGUUUAAUGUUAAGCAAUUGAUUUUGAGUAUGUUGUUAAAAAUAAGGAUUUAUGAAUUGAUUUGUUUAAAUUAAUUUUUAUGGGUUAAGAAAUUCAUUUUUACCUUGCUGUAAAAUCUGGACAUAAUGGUCUUGAGGUUGAAGAUGACCAAAUUUUAUUUUGGUCCUUGAUUUAUGAAAAUUUCAGUUUAGUCCCUAAACUUUGGAAAAAAAAAUUACAAUUUGACCCCUAAAUGUAUUUUGAGAUUCUGGAUAGUGUUAUUAUGAGGUUUAGGAUGAUGAAUCUCAGUUUGAUAAUUGAUUUGGAAUAUUUUCAGUUUGGUCCCUCAAUUUUGGGAAUUUACAUUUUAGUCCCUAAACUUUAUAAAAAUUGCAGUUCGGUACCUGGUUCGUUCUAGACAGAAUUAAGGAUGGUUUAUGGGUGAAAUAUCAGUAUGGUUAUAUAUUUACAGUUUGGUCCAGUUUUGGUAAAAUUACGUUUUGGUCCCUGUUUUGGAUAAUUGUCAUUUUAGUCCCUAAACCUAGGAGACUAAACCUGGUUUUCUUUUAUGCAUUGGAAUCUUUUAUUCGUGUUGCUUUGAGUUUCUUUUGAGUAUAUUUCGUAUAUUUAUUGUAGAUUCUCCUAACGAUCCUCAAUAAGUUUUUCGGGUCUUUCAUCUGAUAUUCCUUUUAAUCUAUAUUCUUUCGGGUGAGUGGGAUAAUCUUUAAUAUGCAUAUAAUAUAAAUAAAUAUGUAUGUUGAUUAUACGAUGAGUACAACCAGUAAAUUUCUUGAAUAUUUAUAUAUAUUGCUUUAUUUUCCGAGUACUCAUUUAUUCUUGAAUUUGCACUCGCAAUUUGUCGAACUAAAUUCUAUUUGAUAUGAUAUACAUUUCUUUGAUGAUUAUAUGAAUAUCUAUUAUGCCUUGAUAUGAGACUUGUCAGUAACUCCAUGCUAACGGAGAGUAGUUAACCUAUGUGCACAUAGUAUUCUGUAUAUCUAGCUGAUGAGAGAGGCAUCAGCCUGUGGCGACUGAUCAUCCCACAGUGGUCACCUUCGGGUGUCAUUUGGUCACUUUUGAGUGUCAUCUGGUCAUUUUUGGGUGUCAUAUGAUCUCUGACGUGUAUUCCACUACGUUAUGAUAAUAUGUUUAGUAUGUAUAUGUAUAUGUAUAUCAAGAUAAUUCAUCUUGCAAACUAUUAAUAUUAUAAAUAUCUAAAAUGUAUAUUAAAUAUUAUUCCCUCACUGAGUUGGUUGAACUCACCCCUCAUUCUUAAUAUUAUUUCAGGUUUUUAGUUUCUGAUAGCAGUUGGACUUUGUAGAGUGUUCCUGCUUCUUUAAUUUUGGUCGGUAUGCCUUGCUUGUUUUGCGAGGCUUUCCUUUUAGUUUUGAUUUGAUGUCUUAGACGCUCUACUAUUACCUUGUUUUAAUUAAGUUUGGAUUUUGACAAUAUAAUGAGUAUUAUAGAUUAUUGUUUUUGUUUUAAUUACUGAUGAGGAGUUUUAAACUAUUUUUUGGUUUCAUCAGUUUUAAAUAAUAUAAUAUUUCUAAAGAUUAUGAAAUGCUGCGUAUUUUUGAAUAAAUUGUUCUUUUGAUAUGUUCGUUUUGAGGCUUAGCGUAGGUGGGGUGUCUUUUCAACACCUCUCCUGCGUUGCCGGUCAUAGACCCGGGAUUCGGGUAGUGACAAUUAGCUUCAAGGGUAACUUCCUUCUCCCCUAGGAAAAUAAGAAUAAUGAACAAUAUAUCUUGCCGGAAAGGAAUGAUAAUCAAUUACCAGCUGUUUAUUAAUUUGUGAGAUAAUAGUAAAUGACCGAUUCAUCCCUCGCUGGUAUAUUUGCCAUCUCUUCAGGCAGAACAGAAGAACCCUCGCUGGCAUGCGCUCCAUCUACAAAAUGUUAAGAAAGCCCUGAAAUAUAUAUUGGUGAAACGGUGUAUUGUAGCUAGGUAAAAUGGUAAAUUGAUCUGCUAUUCUUUCUGCGUCAUAAUCUUUUUAAGCCUUACUCUAUAAAUAGGAACACAUUUGUUUUGUUAUGCUCCAACUGCUCUAAUUACUUUAGGAUGAUUUAUAUAAUUUAUAGAUAUUAAUUUGAAAAACAGAAAUUUAUGGAAAAACAAUGUCUUUAUUUUUGUAUUAAAAAUUGUUUUUAAAAUCAUUUUAUUUUAAAAACCACGCACGCUUCUUCUAAUAAAAAAGAUAUAUUUUUAUUAAAACAAAAAAUAUAUAAAUAAAGAAUGAAAGUUUUGAUUAAAGAGAUAUAUUUUUUCCCUUUUAAUUUAAAUAAUUAAAAAUUCUUGAAUACUUAUUUAAAUCACCAAGUUUUUUAUUUAUUAAACCAACUAUGUUGCCAAUUAAAAAAAAAAUAUGUUUUUGUCAAAAUAAAUAAUAAAUUAGAAUUUUAACUUUUUUCUGUAAAAUUAAUUUAUCAAUUUUUUGACAAAUACUUAUUUUAAUUAUCUUAAAAUUAAAUACAAAUAAAUUUCCAAAAAAACAUCGUGAUUUUGAUGGCUCGUCCCAGAAGAACUAAAGUAGACUCUGUACCCUUUUCAUUACAAGAUAGCAAUUCACUGUAUCCAUGAAAAGGACCUUUUAUUUUUCAGCUAACCUCCUAGCCAUAUAUCAAUCAAGCAUGCAUAACACCAUGGCUUUCAUUUUAUAUAUUUCACCACAUUCUGAACUUGAUUUGCAGCGUCAACUAAAUUUAUUGAUCAUAUUGACAACAUUCCAUGGAACGUUAAACCGACGUCAUCAUGUGUCCGGAAGGCUUGAAGGAAAUGUGUUCAGGAAAAGGAAACGAAAAUAACAGAGAAUAGCAAUGGUAGUGAAUCUUGGGUCUUCGAGAACGCCAUCAAAAGGAUAGGAAAUAGAUGUGGAAACAGAAAAGUCUGCUAGGUCUGGCAGACAAGAGAGCUAGAGAUCUGUGCAUCCGAUGUGAUCACCCCCAUCGUCACCCUAAACAUUAAUUUACAAUAACUGGAUUAAUUAUUGAUCCAUGUUUAUUUGAACUUAUUUGAUUUCAUAUAAAAAACACUCAUGGUUUCUGCGUUUUCCUGAAUCACAUGAACUAACCCCUGUUUUUAGCUAGGUUCUCUUUGCUAAUGGACUUUUCUUCGAGUCUUGUGCUAAUACAUAGGUAGCACCGCACCCAGAUGUGCCUGACCAUAUUAAUUAUUUCAUUCUCCCUUCCUAUGCACCAGUCCUUAACCUCAUUAUCCAUUUCCAUGUGCUUAAGUCUAUUCCCUCAAUAGUUUACAGAAGUGUUUGCCAUGUGAUACUGCGAGAUGCCCCCUUCCUUUCUGCAAUUCUUUUGUUUUUUCUGUCUGGCUAAACGAUGGAUAUUCAUGAACAUCAUUAGAAAACGAAAAUAAUUACUGAAUUUGACAUUAAUCACCGUGCACCCCAAACUAUAUCAGAAAACUGAUUUCUGAUGUUCUUAAUAUAGUCUACCUAAUAAUGACUUUGUCUUAAUUGGCUGGUCACAGCUGGCAAGGCUUCACACUAAUAAUAUGUCUUGUUCUUGUGUGAUCUCACCUAUUGCUCGGGUCCUUCAUUUUAGAAAAUUACUUCGUGUCUACUCCCUGUCGAAGUCUUUCUUUAUUGUUUUUUUUUUUUUUAAUUAAGCAAGUUGUUGAGUUUGAUAAUGACAGGAUUUUAAAAAACACAGUUAAUUGCAUUUUCUUGGAUGUUUGUAUUUUGGAGUAAGCUAGCUGGUCAUACUAAUCUUACAGCCAUUUAGUCUUUCUUUCAUUAUAUAUGUUGGUACCCAUUUUUAUAGCCAUAUGUCCUAAUGAAGACUCUUUUUUUUACCAGAUUGCUGCCAGUUUCUAUUCUUUAAAAUAAUUUUAUCUCACUUCGAAUCCUUCAUUAAGGUUGUAGUCCUGGGCGCAUAGAUGAAUUUGGGCUUUCGAAUCGCUUGAUUUCAAUAUCAGGAGCUCAAGAUAUUUCUGUUUGAAUAUUUGACGAGAAUUCUGUCGCGAGCAAGAUUCUGAUCAGAGUUGCACUAAAAACUAUGUUUCCAUCACGAUUUUGCUGGUUUUUAUUCUUAGGUUAUACUCUCAAUCAUAUCGGGAUGCUCAGCAUUCGUCAGUUUUUGAAUCAGAUUAGGAUAUCAUUUUUUUUACCAACCAAAUUGCGGCCCGAUUCUGUUCUGUAAAACGAUUUUAUCUCACCUUGAAUCUUUCGUGAAAGUUGUAGUCCUACACGCAUAGAUGAAUUUGAGUUUUUGAAUCGCUUGAUUUUGAUAUUAGAAACUCAAGAUAUUAAAGUUUGAAUACUAAUGAGGAAGUGAAAAUUCUGCCGAAAAAAAAAAUUCUGCCGCAGGAAGGAUUUUGUCCCCCAACUUUGAGGACUGAAUUGAAAAAGGACUGGAAUAAGGGAGGUAAUUGCCGAUAUAAAUUGGAAGAAACUUGGCUGGGUUUUAAAGAAAUAGAAAAAGGCAUAGGAUCAGCAAAUCUGCCACCAUGAAUUACGUGGCUGCUGCUGUAUUAUUUUUUCAACAACAAACGACGCCGUCAUUGUUUUUACUUUCUUCAGCUGAGAAGAGAGGCGACACCGUUUUGAAACAGCCCCAUUAUGGUACUGUUUAUUUGUUUUUUCAGAACAGUACCUCCCCCUCUGCAACUCUUUCCUUCCUCUGCAGCCGCUCCUGCUGGUUUGUUUUCAUCCCCUCGUCCUCGCGUCCUCAGGCCAGUUUGGUCUGUACGAGUGCCACCUAUUGUACUCCAGGUCUGCAGCUGCAAGUAAAACAAUUUUAGCAAGGGAUCGAAUGGCCGUGUACGUUCUUUUGAAGGAAGACAAAGGGACCAUUUAAGGGUUGGGAUUUUACCCCUAAGACAGACGGCUAGGAUAAGAGGGGGUGGGGCUGGUCUCCAAGUUUGCUUGGCUAUAUGAGCAAGCUGGAGAGAAGGACGAAAAAGAGAAAAAGAAAAGGGGGGGAAGAGAAAAGAGAGAGACAGAGAGAGUUUAAAUACAGAGAGAAAAGAGGAGGCGGAGAAAAAGAAAAAGGGAGAGUUAGCAUAAGGCUGAGGUUAGAGAAGCCGAAAAUCAUUGAGAACGUUAAGAGAUUACCUUGAGUCUAUCCUACUUUAUCGAACCGGGGUUUGCAAAGACUCUAAGAGGUUUUUGAAAAGCUCCUAACGGCAGAAAAAGAGGAAGGCUUGCUUCGGGUCAUUGUUGGUGAAAAGGCAGAAGCUUUUCCACCGGUUGCAUCUCGUUUCUCUGCGUUCAAACGUGCAGGAUCAGCAGGUAUGAGUCUUGAUUUUCUUUUUUUCUUUAACAUCUGUAAAGCUGUUUGUUUGGUUUUCUUUUCUUUUCAAAAUCUGUUUUCUGUUUCUGUUUUGGGACGUUCGUUUUCCAUCUUAGCAACAAAGUUGUAUGCUUGCCCACUGAAUCUCCCAUGCCUUAAUUUAGAUUAUUAUUCACGUUAGAGCUGCGUUUGUUUUUCCUUCUGCUGGUUACUCAUACGGCGACUCAUUUAGAGAGAAAAAUGAGAGAAAGUCCUCUUCAGGAGGUGAUGUUUCGGCUGGCUUUGGAGUGUGCUUUUCCUUCCUGCUUUCUUUCAAAGAGAGAUAGCUGGCCAUUUGAUUUGUUGUUUCUUCUUUGGUGUCUUUGAUAUACAUGAUAUAAAUGCAUGCUCUUUCGGCUUUCAUUUUUGUAUAAAACCAACCAUGGCAGCGUCAUAAAUUAGAAAAAGGGGAGGCGAGCAACGUGGUCUGUAUUAGGUUCGGUUUUCAAAUGUUUGGCUUCCAUGUGUGUAUGACUUAAUCCCUCCUAUCGAAGAUGAUGUGUCAUGCUGUACUUAGGCUUUGAGUUGAUAAGUUAUGUUUAGUUUCUUGUUCCAUUGCUGUGAGAAACCGUGGGUUGCAAAGGUUUUCAUCAUCCCUGCCUUCCGUUGCUUUGAUCGUCACUUUGCAAAUGGAAUAUGGCAUAGGAAUAAGUGGCUUAUAGGUGCAGAAGAAAGAGUAAAAAACGUGAGGGAAGGUCUGUCUAAUUAAAGGAAAGAACGUGAGGGAGGGUCUGUUUAAUUAAGGGACUUUGUUUUUUUUUUUUUUUUUUCGGCGGGUUUUGGUUGCAUGCUUUCUGUCUCUGUUUUGUGAAAAUAAGAUAGCAUACACGUUAUUUUUUAGUCUCAGCAUUUAAUAUGUGUUCUUUACCGUUGUGUGAAACGAGCAUGGCAUUUGUUUCAAGAUAAAAAGGAUGGUGGUGGGUCACUGUGUUUCUGUUAUAGAUGUUAGUUUCAGAACCUUGUUUUUUUUUCGGUGCGUGUGGACUCGUGUUUUUCUUUUGAGAAUAAUGGGCAGACUUGUAUUCAAGAUUUAAGUUUAAGUUUGAAUGCUGGGGCUCGGUGGUUUGUGUUGAACCGUGGUCAGCUUCCUGUGAAUGCUGGGAUACAUACGUGUACGGUUUGUUUUCUUGUUACUGUGGUACUCGGUUUAAUGGCAUAGUUGUGUUUUUUUUUUUUUGAUAAAAAUGUAAAAUUCUUUUUUGUACGAUGCAUACGGCCAAUACCCUAAUAUAUUUUAAAUUGUUUUUUUUAAAGAAAAUAUUCGAGGUUUCAAAAAAUAUAUUUUAGCAUAGAUUUCUUAAACACAAAAAUUAUUUUUCUUGCAUCUUGGAUUUUACAACAUGUUUAUAAAUUCCAAAAGGUGUUGGCCAAUAUUCCAAAAAAUAAAAAAAUCUUAUUUUUGGGAAUUCAUUUUUAUUCACUGUUAAUGUUUGGAUAAAGAAAUCCUAAAUGGGUAAAUAUCCAAAAUAUUAUUAGGAAUAAUUUGUUAUUCAUUAGUAAUGUUUGGAUAAAGAAAUCCAAAAGGAGGUUAAUAUCCAAAAUAUUAUUAGGAAUAAUCUGUUAUUAUUCACUACAAAUGUUUGGAUAAAGAAAUCCCAAAUGGGUUAAUAUUCAAAAUAUUAUUGGGGAUAAUUUGUUAUGGUUCACUGUUAAUAUUUGAAUAAAGAAACCCCAAGUGGUAAAUAUCAAAAUAUUUUCUAGGAAUAAUAAGUCAUUAUCCCCUAAUAAUAUAAGGACAAAUAAACCUAUGAAAGGUAAAUGUCCAAAUAUUGUUAAUAGGAAUACAACUUAUUUAUUUUUAACAUAAGGGCAGAUUUAUGCCUAAAAAUUUAUUUAGAACAAUUUAAUUGUGUAUCUUUGAAAGAAGCCUCAAUUAUAAUUGGGGACAUUUCAAAUUUUGAUUCCACAAUUUAUAAGUCAUGAAAGCAUGAAAUACUAAGGAAAAAAUGGGCUUUUAAAUCACCUUGAAUUCCCUUGGAUUUCUAGCUUAAUUUUUUCUUUUCCUCGCGAUUUACGAGUCGCGAACACUUGAAAUACUAAGGGAAAAAUGAGCUCUUAAACACAUUGAAUCUCCUUAAAUUUCUAUCUUGGCUGUCUCUAAAUUCAUAAAUUCUAAAUUUGUUUCAAAUCAAACAUAGACUUCAAGAGAUCUGCACCGUUUCUCUUUGGCACUCUAUAGACAUAUCUAAAGGUAUGAUCCGUAUUGGCUAAGGGUUCUUUCCCUUAGACUUUGAACCCAAGUUCGUUCAUCAAAGCAGACUUAUCUUAGGAAACUGAUGGGAUUAGAGAAUAUCAACACCACAACAAUUAUAAAGCAAACCAAACACCAAGCAGCUUACCUUAGGUAGGGCGUACUAGGGGUGCUAAAACCUUUUCUUUACGCAACCAGUCCCUUGCCUUAGAAUCUCUGAAAGACCAGUUAGGUUUCCUAGUGACCAUAAUACUAGGUGGCGACUCCCUUUUUGACAAAACAAAGACCUCAACAUCAAUCCCUGCUACCAGGAAGGGUCACCGUGACGUCGAGUUCUCGCGAGGGUACGACAAUAUAUAUAAAUAAAGGAAUUUGUUAAAUUAUCUACGUAGUUUGUUUAUGGUAAUCCUCAUUCAAAUGUUCAAAAAUCUUAGUUUUCAGAAGCACAACUGCUUUAAAAGAGUUGAUUGGAAGCUUGCAUAGUCGUUAAUUUCAAGGCCUAUGAAAUUAGUUAAGAUACACGUAAACUGACCUGGACACACACAUUAAUCUUAAAAAAAAAAGUUCAGAUUAAACUAUGCACUAACUCAUAAGAAUAGUACUUGAGACUCAUAAAACCUGUUACACACUCUUAAGAAAACCACCUCAUCAUUGACUCUAUAAAAGAUCGCUCACCAGAAUUGCCUGGAAAAUGAUAAAAGAACUUAUGAUCAACAGGCAAAAUAAAUGUACGUAAUCCGAUUCUAAUUCGAUGGAGGAGAUGAAUCUUUUAGUUUAAAUGAUUCAUAAAUCUUUCUGUAAAAUUCAGAUUCUUUCUAUGUAUGUUUUUGUGAGGGAGCUAGCUUGAAGCUAAAAAUCAAAAGGAGAAAUGGCCAGAGUUGGCCAAACAAUAUUAAUAUGAUUGUAACUUGUUUGGUAUUGCGGUAACUGUUGUGGUUGUGGUUUGAAAAAAAUAGUUUUAUAAAAAGUGCUUUUAGUUGUGGUUGGUUUGGAAUUUAUAUAUGUUUGGUUAAAACUGUGGUUGAAAUUGAGGUUGAAUAAAAAGUAGUUUAUUGUGUUUGGUUAAAAAUUGUGGUUCAAUUUCAUGUUAUGGUAUAAUUACCUAAAAGGACUUCAUUCAUAAUAUUAAUGAACAAUUACAUAAAAAGUAAUCUUACAACCAUUAAAAUUUUGCAAAGACACCUAAACAUAUUAGAACAAUAAUUUAUAAUUGUGUCAUUAAACUUGCAGCAAUCCCAUCACGUACGUAAUCCAUUCGCGAAGGCAUGUGGUGUCCUUGCAUUUGUGCACGUGGAGCAACAUCAGUUAGAAAAUCAUCGGGCACAAAAUCAGGAUGACGAUCAAACUCCAUAAAUGCCACAUCUUGCAUUGAAGUUCUUCUAAUGUAGUUAUGAAUUGCCAUGGAUGCGACAACAAUUCGAACUUGUGUCUUGUAGUUAAAUGAUGGCAUAUUCUGUAGGAUUCGCCAUCUUUUUUUCCAAACUCCGAAUGUACGUUCUAUCACACAACGUAAUGAAGAGUGCACACGGUUGAAAAUUUCUUCACGAUUUUGUGGUUGUCCUCGCCUCCUAAAUUCUUCCAAAUGAUAUCUCUGACCUCUAUAUGGACCUAAAAAUCCAUAUUCAUUAGGAUAUCCCGAAUCAACCAAGUAGUAUUUCCCUGUAAAUACAAAUAUUUUUUUGUAAAUUCAAAAAUGAAAAAAAACAUUAAUUAUCAUACACACACACACACACACACACACACGUUACUACCUUCUGGUGGCUUAGGAAAUUUUACACGUGGAUUGUCAAUUGCCUCGAGAAAAAUUCGUGUAUCGUGUGCACUGCCAUCCCAACCCGCCCAAACAAAUGUGAAUUGCAUGUCAAAGCUACAUGCAGCCAUAACAUUCUGGAUUGGCACACCUUUUCUUCCGAUAAAUGAAAUUUGGUUUUCUGAAGAAACACAUGCACGCACAUGUGUACCAUCGAUAGCUCCUACACAAUUCUAAUAUACGAGAAACCAGCAACAAUCAUCAAUUUAAGCAGACUAACAAAAUAAAUUUUGCAAAUUCAUUUAAUACGAUGCGCCAUCAAUAAAUACAAUUAAUGACAUUACCUUGAAAUGUGGCAUAUACCUUGGAUUGUUCACAAUUUCCCACGGUGUGUUUACAAACCCGGGAUCUGCAGGUUGUAUUAAAUCUGCAGCGAGCAUACAAACUGAUAUAAAAGCAGCACUUCACUCACUAAAACUUCUAUAAUACUUUUAAUUCCACAGAAGAUUUCUAAUUUAGAAAUCAUAAUAUUUCAGAUGAAAAGCCAAUGGUACUGACAUCACAAAAUCAUGUAUAUCACUAGUACAAUCUCAUAAUUAAGUGCGCAAUUCUUCUACCUAUCGGCCAUGUAUGCGUACUGGAUACUGUUUUCGAACUGGACAGCAAAUCCUUCCCACACAAAUUCCUCAUAUAAAAAAAAGGAAGAAUCAGUAGAUUCCAUAUCAUUCAAUAAUUUGUGCAUUUACACUCUUUUUAGGAAUUCAGAAAUUAACAGCGAUUCCAAAAAUAAAAAAACUAUCUGCUUGUUAUAUAUAAAAAUUAUGUUAAAAAAGGAAAAGAUGAAGUCUUGGACAUGAAAGGGGUGUUUAAAAGUGAGUUUCAACCUUUUUUUUUGUCAAAAAUUAUUUAUUUUUGUUUUAAAUUAUUUUUUUAUAUUUUUGAAUCGUUUUGAUAUGCUGAUAUUAAAAAUAAAAUUUUAAAAAUAUAAAAAAAUUGAUUAUAGACUAGAUUCGAUAAAAACCCAAAUUUAUGUAAAAAAUAGUUUAUAUGCUGUAAAAUCCUUAAAACAAGUAAUGGAUUAACGUGGGUAAUUUGAAAGCAAAAGUAUUCUAGAUGUUACAUGAUUCUUAAAAUAAGGAAUGAUUUUAUCAAGUAAGCUAAUAAUCUUGUAGGCUGAUAGAUUCAGCAUGCUGGUGACUUAUAGAAGGAUAAGUAGUAGGCUUGUAACUAAUAAGCAGUAAUCUUCCAAAAUAUAUUUUUCUAUUAAGAUCUCACUUAGAUUAAGAACAAUUCUAUGAUUGUAAGUUUUAUUUGCAAUAAAUUUUCUUGUUCUUGAAUUUCAAUUAUUUUUUAAUAUUUUCAUUGAGUGAUUGAAUCUUUAUUUCUUUAAUUGAGACAAAUACAAAAGAAUCCUGAAUCACUGUAAACGACAUACUGAUAAAGGUAUAUAAUUUCUGGUAUUGAUCACUAAUACCGUAAUAAUCUACAAGUUACAAAAAUAUAUAAUGGAACUUGAAAAGCACUGAAAUUUAAGAUUGUAGAAAAAUAAUGUCUUUUUUUGUUAUUUUAUUUCCAUGUCACUUCUUCUUCUUCUUCGUUUCUGCCAACUACAAUAUCAGAUAUACCAAUUGAGGUGCAUAAGUUGGUAUCAGAGCGUUCCUUCCUUGAACUGAUGGCAGAGGGCACAUCAAACCUCUUUCUCGCUCUUGAGAAAGUCACCUCAUCACUGAAUCCCUUACAAAGAACCACCCACCAGAACUGUAUGGACAGUGAUCAAUGGGCAGAAUAUAUAUAAAUAUAUGUAAUCUGAUGCAAAUUCGAUGGAGGAGGAAAUCAAUCUAUGAGCUUAGAGACUGGGAAACAAAAUGAUAUAUUAUUAGCAUUAGAGAAGGUACAUGAUUUUUUUAUUCAGUAUGCCAUGUUUUUUUUUUUUUUUUUUUUUUUUUAUUUUCGUGGGUGUCCGGGCCAGCUUGCGCGCACCUCGACUAAUCCCACGGGCCCUGAAGUUAACGACCAUGUAAGCCUCCAGUGGCCAUCAUAUGAGCGACCACAAGGUUCGAACCUGAGACCUAAGAGGGAGCAAACCCCUUAGUCCCAAGUUCUUACCACUGGGCCACCACCUAGAUGGUUCAGUAUGCCAUGUUUUGAUAGCCUGAACCGAGAAGAGUAUGAUUGAUUAACAUUGAACAAGAGCAGAAGAAUUCCUCUCAUCAUUGACCUGAAUUUGAGUCUAGUUGUAAUUGUAUAGAAAUCCACAUGCUUAGACUGUAACCAACACUGAAAGUCAAAUCUCCGAAUAGACUAUCUUUCACGAGUGUGCAUGCAUCCGAAUAAACAGAGUGUCAUUCAGAGGAGCUAGAGCCAGAGAAUCACAAAAUCAACUGAAACAGACAUCUCAGACCAACAGGGGAACCCAAGAGGAUUUGUAUCAGAUAACAGGGUUCCAUAUUUUGAUAUAAGCAUUUUUCAAUGAAUAGAAUAAGGCAUGCGGUGGGUCAAUAGACUCGUAAACACCGAACUAAGACAAUUCCAUCAAGAAUAUUGCUCAUCACAUUAUCCGUUCAGAUCAAAUGUUGUGAAAGCAUCACAUUAAUAUCCACAUUAUUUCACUUGUAAUUUUAUUUUACAAGUGAAAUAAACAGAAAGAAUUAUUUAAAACAAUCAAAUUGAAAAAAUGUAGAUGAAAAGGAAAAGGCCUCGCACUGCCAGACCUGCAUGUUAUUACUGGUCUAGAUGUGCCACGCUUGCAUGAACUUUAUAAUUAAAAGAAAAAAGCAAUUUUAUUUUUUAUUAAUAAUAAAAUCUUAAUAACUAUGCUUUCAUCUUUAUAUAUCUUCAAUGGCUACGUACAAGCUUAGAUGCAAAAUCCUUUUGUUUUUUACUAUUUUUUUUCUCAAAAUAAAAACCUAAACCUCAUAAAACUAACUCAUAGUAAGCAUCUCCACUCUAAAAUCAUAAAAAAAUUAACUAAAUCUAAAAAUUUAUUCUCAAAUUCUAAGCUGUUUAAUUUAUGGAUAAUGAAGUUGUUUAAUUUAUCAUUUUAAAUCUUUUCACAACCUUUUUUAUAUUGUCUUAAUAUUUCUAUGAUUUGUUGUGAAUCUUUUUAUGCCAUUGCUUUGUUUAAUGUCGCAAACCCAAAUUGCUAUUUGCAACAAAAAUGUCACUUUAAUUAAUUGUGUUUUAGUGCUCCAGGGAAAGAAAAAAAACACUGAAAUUGAAAUUUAAGAUUGUAGAAAAAUAAUGUCUUCUUAUUGCUAUUUUAUUUCCAUGUCACUUUAAUUAAUUGUGUUUUAGUGCUUAUACCCCAAAAAUCAAUGGAGUUUGUUUUUGUAUUUUAAGGUGCUUAUAAAAAAGUUAAUUUUUAUUUAUUUUUUUUGUUUUAAAUUAAUAUUUUUAGUUUUUUAAUAUUAUUUUGAUGAUUAUAUAUCAAAAAUAAUUUUUUAAAAAUAAAAAAUAUUAUUUUAAUAUAUGAAAAAAUCAUUUUACGCAGAUUAACUUGUCAUUUGGUUUACAACUUACAGUGUCCAGUUGCUAUGCUACCAUUGCAGUAGUGUUGUAUGCACUUGCAAGCGUGAAAAAGAAAUUUGAGAAAGUCCAAUUAACCCUAUGGAAGUAAAACAUUAACAAUAAAAAAUUGUCAUGUAUCAUUUUUAUUUUACUUUUACGUAUAAAGAUAAAAUAAAACUAAAUUAAAUAAGCUUUUAUAUAUUUAUAGACCAAAGAAAAAUUAACACAUAAAAUAAGAUAUUUAAAAUAUUUUAUCAUAAAUACAAGGUUCUAUAAAUAAAAAUCAACUAAUAAAAUAAUAACAUGUUGCAUUUUUAAAAGAUAUAGUGCAUCUAUAAUUUUUUAUAAAUAAAGGGUCUCAUUCUCAUAUAUAGAGAGAGGGAUAUAAUUUUUCUUGGGAAUAAAAUCUUUUUCUUAAGACAAGCUCUUCAAGCAAAUUUAAUGAUCAUAUUGACAACAUUCUUAAUUGGAUUAAUAAUUCAUGUUUAUUUGAACUUAUUUGAUUUUAUAUUUUUAUAAAAUCCACUUAUAAAAAUUAAAUACAAAUAAAUUUUUAAAAAGACAUUGUGAUGCGGUAACAGAGAAAAAAGACCAUGUCACACCCAAGCAACCUGAAUCAGAAGCCCUUUUCUAGCUUUAAGUUUUUUGGAUCUGGAAAGGUAUACCAAAUCUAAGUUAAUAAUAAUAAUAGCAGCAAUAAUAAUUUAUUUUAUCAUUCAAAUCAAAUCUAUGUUUUUUUUACAAUAAUAAUAUUUAUUUUAAAUUUAAUAAUAUUUAUAAUAAUAAUAUUAAACUUGUCAGACCGAGUUUUUAUAGUUUUUAAUCCAUUCAAAUCAAAUCUAUGAUUGUUUUUUAAUAUUAAUUAUAAUACAAAUAAUAAUAUUUAUAAUACAAAUAAUAAUAUUUUUAAUAUUAAGAAUAAUAGUAAUAAUAACACUAAUAAUAAUUGAUUUUACCAAAAAAUCAUAUCUAUAUUUUUUUCGAUAGUAAUAAUAUUUACUUCAAAUUUAAUAAUAUUAAUAAUAAAAUUAAACUUGUCUGACCCAAGUUUUUAUAGUGUUUAAUUGCUUCAAAUAAAAUUUAUGGUUUUUCUUUGAUAAUAAUAUUUUUUAAAAAAUAUUGAUGAUGAUGAUGAUUAUAAUAUUAAUAUUAAUAUUAAACUUGUCUACCAAAUUCUUAUAGUUUUUAAUCACUUCAAAUCCAAUUUAUAGUUUUUCUUCAAUAGUAAUAAUAUUUUAUUUCAAAUUUAUUAAUGAUAAUAUUAAUAAUAAUAAUAAUUAUAAUAAUAAUAAUAAUUAUAAUAAUAAUAAUUAUUAUUAUUAAUUUUACCCUUCAAAUUAAAUCUAUGAUUGUUUUUUUUAAUUUUAAUAAUAUUUUUUUAAUUUUUUAAUUGUUAUAUUAAUAAUAUUAAUUAUAAUAAAAAUAAUAAUAUUUUUAAUAUCAAUAUUAUUCAAAUUUAAGUGGGAAUAAUUGCAAUGCUGAAUCCAAUAGCUUUGAGCCUUUUUAAAAGUCAGACCUAAAUAUGUGGAUCUGCAAAUUUAAGAGUCUUAGGUCUGAAUGCUCGGCCAAGUAUCUUGAGUCCUGCCACUAGAUUUAAGAUCCAUAGGUCUGAAUGUGAGCCAUAAUAAUAAUUAUCGCACAAGAGGCAUUCGUUUCAUUUUACUGGCUCAGCAUCCUAUUCAUCACUAGAUUUAUGACUUUGCAAGGUGCUGUUUAUGUUGGUGCUCUGUUAGCGAGCUCGGGUCCUAUAAUCAGGUUUUUUAAGAGGCCUUUAUUCUUCUCUUUUUCAUUUUUUUUGUUUUUUACCUUGAAUUUUCCAGCCUGUUGUGCAGCACGUGCUUUUGUUGUGAUCUUUGUUUAUGUAAAUUUGAUAAGGCAUAUGACAAAAAUCCUGGUUAAUUGAUUCUUUCUUUUGAGUUGAAAGAUAUUGGAAAACCAAACUUGAGAAUUCAAUCCUGCAUGAAUCGAAUGAGCCUCUAUUAGAAAAUCUUGAGAGAGCAUAUAUACAAUUAGACAUUGAUGAAGAAGAAGCAAUAACCUAAAAGUUAAAAAUCAUGGGAUCUUUUUUGAAGGGAACAUGGAGCAGAAGAAGAAACUUACUUUGCAGUUGCAAACAGCUCUAGCUUGGAAAAUACUAUUGUCCUAUGGUUUGAUUUGGUUGUUAAAUACAUGCUGGGAGAUUGAAAUGCAAUUUUGGAGUGAUUGCGUUCCCCUUUAUAAGCCACAACUAACAUGCUAGGAUCCUCCAGGCUCCUUUCCACAUGUUUUCUUGCGGGGCAUCCCCUCCUGCUGCUGGAUUUAGUCUCCUUUGAAACCAAAGAAUUUAUAUCAAUGGGAUGCCAAGGCUUAAACACUUGAACAAGUUCUCCCAUUCUUUGAAGCUCAAACUCUCACCUUCUAACUCCAGUUUUCGCAGACCCCAUGUUAAGGUAUGUUUUCACAGGUGAGUUUUUCUUUUACGAAAAUGGCAAUGCUUUUGACUGCCUUUUCUUACCUAGGCAUUAGGCACUAGCUAUUGAACUGGAAAUUUAAGAGCCGUUGAUGUAUUUUCUUUGCUGGAAUGCCUCUUGUGCGAUAGGGAUGUGUCCGCAGGAAAUGUGGGAGAAGAUUGAUAAGGGUGGUUGGUGGGUUCGAUCCAUGCCACCUUUUGACCACAAGUCGUUGGAUAUAAGAAUGGCUGGUGUAUCCUCAGAAACCCUUGAGCUGUCGAUUGAAGAGGGUUGGUUUUACCAUUUCUGUUCUACCUGUUGUUUUCAGGAGUAACAUGUCACCUUUUAUGACUUAUUUCAGCUGUUUAAGUUCUUACAAGAGGAAGGGGAAAAAAAAGACAGAUUGACGGAAGAAUUACAAGGCAGAAGGUAGAAUAAAUCUUCAGAAAUUUGCGGUACAUCAGCAUAACCAUCUAUCCAUCACGAACAAUGGUCACUCUACAUUUAGAAAAUACAGCUUUGAAAAACAUUUAUGACAAGAAUGAUUAUUUUCAGUUUGGUUUUUAUCCAAAAAAAAAUAACCGGUUUGAUUUUUAUCAAAAAAAUAACCAAACUGAAUUUUUUUUAAAAAAAAAAACCAAAACCGGGUCAAUCCGACCGGUUUCGGUUUGGUUUUUAGGGCAAAAACCAGUUCAACCGGUUUGGCUCGGUUUUUCCAGUUUUGGCUCGGUUUUCUCGGUUUGGCUCAAUUUUUUUCUGGUUUUUUCGAUUUCGGUUCGUUUUUUUGGUUUUUUGCUUAUAAAACCGAACUGGUCGGUUUUUUUAAAACUUUAAUUAGUUUUUUUUGUUCGGUUUUUUCAAUUUUUUUCUCAAUUUAAUCGGUUUUUCAAUUUUUUUCUCUUCCAUAAUUUAUACAGUACAUCGGCCUAAACUCAUACAAAUAGAAUUCUUAAAUGUUAAGAAACAAAAUAUAAUAUAAAGUAAUAGAAGAAAGGUUGUCUAACCAUUCUGGCAAUGCUUCCUCAAAUUCCUCUCCCUCGAAAUAAAGUAUACACAAUUCCUCGAGGGCAGUGAGGUGUUGAAGUUGAUGCGGAAAAUUCCUCGAGGGCAGCCUAAAAUUCCACAUAUCUCCAAUUGAGUUUAAAACUCCUGCAGGAAAAGCCUCCAUCUCCUCUGAGAAACCACCACCGAUGCUCAAAUACUCCAGUUGGGUGAGGCCGCCUAAGCAAUCAUCCUCUGGGAAAUCACUCAAACUGUAUAAAUGGUAGUGUCCUGCAAUGGUGGUUAUGUAUUGAAAUCAUGAAAAAGAAAAGGAAGAGAGAGAGAGAGAGAGAGAGAGAGAAGGGGAUUGCAUUGAUUAAUUGAUCAUUAAUUCUUUCAGCAUUUCAUAAUCAUGCUUUCUGUUACAAUUUGUUGCACAUAUAACAUCUUAGCAUUCUAGUAGAAAGAAAGAAAAUUCAGUCUACUUUCCACACACAAUGCGUAGUAAGUAAGUGAGGUGCAACGUUUUUAUUAUUAUUAUUAUGAUUGAUGGCUAAUUUUGAUAUUACUCUAAAUUCAUAUGUAUAUAAAGUAUUUAAUUUUAAGAUUUAGUGAUUUGUUUUAAGAAUCAUAAUUGUAUAUAAAGUUGAUGAUUUUAAAAUAAAUAAUACUGCAUAGACAAAUGCAAUAAAUAUGCAAGUUAAAUUAUUUUGUAAGAAUGAUAUUAGAAUAAUGCUGGAUGGCUAUUGAUAUUAUCAUUGAUAUGUGUAUAUUUUGAUACAUAGUAAAAUUAAGCUAAUUAAUAAUGGCAUGCGAUAGACAGUGUCCCUCCCAAUACAUUCCACAUAAAUAAGUAUAAAUUUGGUUAGCAUAAUAAUAAAAAGAUAAUAAGAUAUUAGUCUCUAAUAAUUGCUUUAAUUUGAUUAUGAUUGAUUUGGUUGCUUUUGAUAUUACUCUAAAGAAGAAUGCUGGGAUAUGAGAAAAUAAACCAUUUUUAAAAGAAUGAAGUCUAAUUAUUGCUUUCAUUAUUUUGAAUUCUUUAAUUGGUUCUCUCUCCUCUCUGCAUACUACAAAGUAACGGAAUCAUUUAAGCCCCAACUUACCUGUACACGUCUACCCUCUAUCUUAUAUAGAUUUUUGGGAUAUGAGAAAUCUUGGGCCACUCAGAGCCAUUCUCCUUUCUACAAUUUUCUGAUAGAUGUGGACAUCCCCCCCAAAUCCGCAAUUCCUUUAAUUUGGAGAGGCGUUGAAUGGCUGUUGAGCUUGGCAGAUACUUGAGAUUCUUGCAAUUCUCAAUCCAAAGAGAUUGAAGGGAAGAAAGGUUGGCCAACCAAUCUGGCAAUGCUUCCUCAAAUCCCUCUCCACUGAAACCCUUUAUAUACAAUCUCUCGAGGGCAGUGAGGUGUUGAAGUUGGUGUGGUACACUCUUCAGUUUAUCCCACCCAUGUAUCGCUAGGGAUUUGAGGGACCCACUCAAGUUGAGGUGUUGGAAUGAGUUUAAAAGUCCUGCAGGAAAAGCCUCCAUCUCCUCUGAGUAACCACCGAUCCUCAAACCCUCCAGUUGGGUGAGGCCGCUGCCUAACCAAUCAUCCUCUUGAAAAUCACUCAAACUCCGACACCAAGUGAUUUGUAAUUCAACAAUAGAAGGCAAUUGUCGUAAACCAUGCCAAGCAAUACUGAUGAGCUUAUCACAUGCUGCAAUGGUUAAUCCUUGAAGCGAAGACAAUUCUUGCAAAUCAUUGAUAUGGAUAAGCUCACUCCAACCAUGUAUUUUUAAUACCUCUAGAGAUGCGCAACAUUGUAGUCCGCUUGGAAGAGCUCCCAAUUUACACCCAUUAACACUCAAUCUCUUCAAAGAAUAUUUCAAUUUUCGAAAAUCACCAGGAAUUGAGAUCAACUCACGGCACUCAUAUAUACCCAAUUCCACCAGAGCUGUGCAGUGUUCUACGCUUGGAAUGGAUGGCAGCUUCGGACAACUCCAUAUCCUUAAAAUCUGAAGAGACGUGAAGCCAUGAAACUCACCAGACAAAUAUCUCAGUUCAUCACAUCCGUCAAUUACAAAUUUUACAAGAGAUGAAAGACGAUAUAUCGGAAUGCUUUUCAACUUUCCACACCACUGAAUCCGCAAUACUUCAAGGAAAGGAAAUACUUGAUCACCUUCUCCACCUGGUACCAUCCAUUCUUCAAGACCAUCCAAGUUAGAUAGAGUGAGUUCUUUUAGUGCUGGAAACAGUACAGCUGUACUGCCACUGCUGCUAUAGAACUCAUUGCCUAUACAUUUCACAUUAGGCAUUCCACUCAUCUCUAGAAUCUUAAGGCGAGGAAGACAUCCAAGUGUUGGGAGUUGUCUGCUCUUGCUGCAAUCUUUUAAUCUCAGCCCCGUCAAAUUAUUGAGUUGCAAUGUAGACAUCCAUGAUGGGAAAUAUUCACCUCCAUAACCCUCAAUUGUCAAGCUUCUUAUGUUUGGGUGAGGCUGCAGGCCUUCCAGCACAUCCUCGUUAUUGACACCGCUGUUACCUUCAUCAUCACUCCAUUCAAGCACCAAUUUGUUCAUUCUUUUUUGACGCAGUUUUGCCUUCUCAGCUUCUUCUCUGUCUCUAACUUGCUCAAGCUUGCAUAUCUUCAAUGCUCCUCUUAGUUCAUUCAAACAUCCCAGCUCUUCAACCAUAUGAUUUGGACCCACUACAAAUAAAGGCAGAGUU